CCCCCCAACCACACACACACGACCUCACCCCCAAAACAAAAUAACACACAGUAGAACCCAAGUUCCCCCAGCCCUACUAUCCCGUUUCCAAAGAGAAAAGAAAAUCCAAGUUCUCAACGCACUGCCUCGCCCUCUCUCUCUCAAGUAACAAGUACGAAUUUUUCUUUCACUCUGCUUUUCUCUCUUCUUCUAUGUCAAUUUUAGUGUUGGGUAAUAUGCUCUACAAGGUACAACAAUGGUGCAAUUGUGCAAAAAAUUUCCAACCCCAAAUACCCCAUAGGAUAUCUUAUGAUUGUUGUAACAAGUGUUUCUGUUAACUGUAUUAAGCUAAGAAAGAAAGAUGAAGGCUAAAAGAAGAAGAAAUAAGAACAGUGACUAUAUUCGAUGAAAACUCCCUCUCUCCUCUUUACAAGUUAUAUAAGGGUUGGCCUUAAGUGUAAAACUGAAGACUUUUAGAACUCUUGUGUAACUAUACAUCUUAUUUACUAAAACAUAGACUAAACUGUAAAAAGAGAACUUAGAUGUCUAUACUAGUAUUCUUCUAUCUUCUUCUCAUCUCAAUUGUAACAGUACUCCCUCCUCAAAAUUUUUCUUGUCCUCAAGGAAAUCCAUUCAACUGAAAUCCGGACAUAUGGUCUUCACAGCAUUAGCAUCUUCCCAUGUAGCAUUCUCCACAGGCAUCUGAUCCCAUUUAAUCAACCAUUGCACCACUGCUUUGUUUCCCUUCUGAAUCAUCCUUCUCUAUAGUAUCUCUAAAGAUUAGGGACAAUAAGGAUUUUAGAUGUCCAAGACAGGUAGGUGACUCACCUUAUCAGGAAAAGAAUGGCAUAACUUCAACAGAGACACAUGGAAUGUCGGAUGCAAUAAGAGCUCAAGAGGAAGAGCUAACUUGUAUGCCACUGGUCCGACCCUUUCUAAGAUCAAAUAAGGUCCAUAGUACCUCGAGGACAGCUUGUGAAAAUGGUGGUUGGACAAUGUGAUAUGCCUGUAAGGCUGGAUUUUAAGAUAAACCCAAUCUCCCACCCGGACUCCCUAUCAUACCUAUGCUUGUUAGCUUGGGAAACCAUCCUCUGUUGUGCUCUCCUUAAGUGAUAAUUUAACAGUUGCAACUGAAGUUCUCUAGCAACCAAACUUCUGUCUACCUCCUGGAAUUCAAAAUCUCCAGCCAUAUAGGGUAAGUGCUGAGGGGGUGGUUGACCAUAAAGUGCUUCAUAUGGGGUUGUGUGAAUGGAGGAAUGGAAAGUGGUAUUAAACCACCACUCCGCAAACACCAAGUAGUUAGCCCAAGAUGCUGGUGAGUCAGAGCGAAACACCUCAGAUAAGUUUCCAAGCACCUAUUAAGCACCUCAGUUUGGCCAUCAUACUGCGGGUGGUAAGCAGUUGAGGUGCUCAAGGUCACACCUUGCAUUAAAAACAGCUCUUGCCAUAGUUUACUAGUGAACACAUGGUCUCUAUCACUAACAAUAUCUUCAGGCAUCCCAUGUAAUUUAAAAAUGUUCUCCAUGAAGAGCUUAGUAAUAUCACUAGCUGAGUAAGGGUGCGACAAUGCUAUGAAAUGUGCAUAUUUGGUAAGUCUGUCGACCACUACCCAAAUAACUGUUUUACCCAAGGAUUUGGGAAAGCCUUCUAUGAACUCCAUGCUGAUGUAACUCCAAGCGGAAGUUCAUAUUUGAAGGGGCUGCAGCAACCCUGGAUAAGCGGCGGUAUCAUAUUUGUUCUUCAGACAAGCAUCACAGUUUCUAACCCAAGUUGUAACAUCUUCCUUGAGACCCUUCCAGUAAAAAAGAGGUGAUACUCUCAUGUAGGUGUUGUCAAUGCCCGAAUGUCCACCUGCAGGGGACUCAUGCCAUAACUGCAAUAUUUCCUUUCUCAACUCAAUGUCAGGUCCUGCCACCAACUUGCCUUGCUUUCUGAGCUGUUGAUUCACAUAGUUGUAUGCCUUUAUGUCUUCCUUUUUAUGUCUUCCUUAUUUGCUUGUAAUUGCUGAAUCAAACUUUGCAACUCAGGACACCCAUCCCAACUGUUUACAAUGGAUUGGAAUAAGUUAGUUCUAAUUGUGGAUAAGGUUAGGGUAGCCAACUGUAUUGGAGGGACUCUGGACAAAGCGCCAGCUACAUUGUUCUUUCCCCCUUUUUAUAUUCAAUUUCAAAAUCGAAUUGUAUCAAUCUGGUAAUCCAUUUCAACUUGGACCCCGUGUGUAACUUCUGCUCUAGUAAGAAUUUAAGGGCUCUUUGAUCUGUUCUUACUAUAAAAUGUCUCC
rnacentral:lncRNA from 1 species